rnacentral:sRNA from 1 species
GAGGCUUUUUGGGAGCUCACUGGCUUCGGGUUCCAUCGAAACUCUGAAGUUAAGCCAGUUCACGCGAGAGCAAUCCCAUGAUGGGUGACCUACUAGGAAGUUCUCGUGUGAGUUCCCAGAACCAAAACCGUGAGGGCAUGGUCGGGGCCUAAAGUGGACAAUAUUGUGCUACGGCGGAUUCGAGCCCGGGAUGUGACAAUUCGAUAUCAGAGCCAAUCCCUGGCCGGAAGUGUGCCGACGAGGACGUCGGGCCUCUAAGGGGAGUGGAUUGUAACAUCCCACAUCGCCCAGGGAGUGGAUCUUGUAAGCCUUAUAUGUAUAUUCCCAUCUCUACCUAGCACGAGGCCUUUUGGGACUCCAAAGUUAAGUGAGUUCGCGCGAGAGCAAUCCCAGGAUGGGCGACCUAUUAGGAAGUUCUCGUGUGAGUUCCC